rnacentral:lncRNA from 1 species
GCAUUGCAUAAUUGGCCUAGGCAGCAAGCCUAAUUCCAGAACUUUCUGAGUGUGCUAAUAUAUGGGCUGCCCCAGUCAGCACUGGCUCAGGGAUCAAGUAGUGGAAGGCUCCUCUGGCUGCAGCAGAAUAAGGCUUGGAGUUGGACUUGGCACAGACUUAGGCAGGCUCAGCUGCUUUGCACCCAUCUAGAACUCAGACAGUGAACCUUCAGAGGUACUGGACACACAAUACAUCCAACACCUUCUCCACUCUGCUCUGUGCCCGGGGAGGCUGAACUCAAUGGACCACAUCAGUUCAGCUCCUUUGCCUUCUGUCUGCUGACUGGGUUCUGCUAUUGGGAAGUGCUGACAUUGGUCCAAGAAGGAAGAGUCCCAAGUGAGAUUAAAAAAAGCAUUUUCCCUCAUUUGGACAUCAAUAAUGUCAUGUGUGUUUACGGACUUGUGUUUUCAUAGAAUGGAAGGUGGUAAAAUGGCAGGAAUUCUUUGCAUGUGUGACAGUGAUGUUCAUAUAGGUGAUACCUUUUUUUCUUCAGAGUUUUCCUCUCAUUGUGGCUACGGUUUUGCCUCCUAAAAGAUUGUUGGGUUGCCUCGAAGCUCUCUUCUAGGACUUCCUCAGGCCCCUUUAAGACUCCUCCAGGUCCUGCAUUGUAAUUCACACUUUCCUGCUUUCCAAGUUAGGCUCAUCUAUAACAUUUUAAUGAGUGGGGCAAUUACUCAUGUGCAUGAGAAAAUCUCUUAUAAUACUCGCUUGAGCCCUGUCCAAGUUUGAGGUAAGAGAUAAUUGUGCCUCUGGUUGGGAACUCCAUACUCUGUUUAUGGUAUUUGGGCUUUGUUUGUCUUUCAGUAACUGUGCGAUUUCCCUCCCUCCCUGCCGACUUUUAUGGAAAUGAUCUUCCUGCUGCCUGAAGUGUGUCAUUCUGCAUCUUGCCAAGUAGAAAACCUCUCUGUGGAGAAAAUGACCCAUCUUUUUGCCUCUGCAACCAUCUGACUUAAUUAUGCACUGCACUUGGCCCCUGGAGAGCCCAGUGAGGAACAUGAGGAAGUCCUGGCUUGAUCGCCAAGCCCUAGGGUCUUUGUCAAUUAUCAUCUGGCACCCACGAGUCUGGCCAAAUUUACAGGCAUGUCUGUCUCUCAAAACAUGUCAGGCCUGAAGAGUGAAUCACAUUUUUUUUCUUGAGCCGUUAUAAGUAGAACAAUCUUUUCCAUUAAAACCCACUUUACUCUCUUCUCAACACCCCAGAGCCUCUUGAAUACACCUUCUACUCCACAUGUGAUGCCUGGGAGACUGCAGUUGAAUAAUAUUACUCAUUUCCCAGGACUCCUGGCGUGUAAGGAGACAUUGCAGUCUAGAAGGAAGGACACGGGCUUUGCAGGCAAACAGAGGUGGAUUUGAGAGACCCAUUCUUCUUUCAGCUAGCUGUGAGCCCUUGAGAGAACCACUUACCUCUCCGAGCCUCCAUUUUCUCACCAGUACAAUGGAAAAGAUAAUAUCGACUUCAUAGGGUUAUUGUAAGGCAAAAUUAAGAUAAUGCAUGCAAAAGUAAUUUGAAAACUAAAAUCAAUAAAAUGCUAGAGUUUAAUGAAGAAUAAGAAAACCAGCACUCAUUAACCAUAUUCCUUAUCCCUCUCUACUCUGCUCUCUAAGGGAACAAGCAAAGAGCUUUGUUUUCAUCUCUUGUUAUUAAGACUUCACAGCAUAGAAUUCAAGGAUCCCAUCAAAGGCAUGUUUUCCCAGCAAGUUUUGAGGUCCAGAUUUGCAGUGUAGUACACAAAUGUCAUUCCUUUUGAGAUGUCCCCUUUGACCCUGACCCCCAAUAUUUCAAGUGAACAAAUGAUUUCCCCACACUGCUUUGAAUAUUUCUACUUUUCUCAGGGGGCAACAGUGCAACUUCCAGUUCCUGUCAUCCUCCCUUGGGGAUUGUUUAUUUGCCAAUCUCCUCCACUAGGCUCUAAGACCAGAUAGGGUCUGGGUUCUGUUCAUCCAGUAUUCCCAGGUCCCAGCAUAGGGGCUGGUGCAAAGGAGGAGGUCAGGACUGUUGGAGGAGGAAAGAAGGAAGGAAGGGAAGGCAAGAGAAGAAGGAAAGGAAGGAAGAAAUCCAGACUUGAUAUUCUUAGAAGUAUAAUCAAGGGACACUCGUAACUCUCUAUGAAAGCAACCCUACUGGGAAAACCUAUUAUUACACCCUGGCUUCAAGUGUUGUUUUCAUAUCUGGGAGGAAAUACAUUAUUUGUGUUUUGGACUAGCCCCAUCAAUCUGGUUUCUUCAUCCCUGUCCCAGACUUCCCUUACAGUUGUGUGGGCAGAAUAAGGAGGUCUCUGGUUUGAAUUGGUAACUAAAGGCUAAUGAAUGUUUUCCUGCUCAGGGCCAGUGACUAGUAGUUGCUGAUGAGGAGAUGAGGAGGAAAGCCCUCCAAGUCAGAAUUCUUGGGCUUCUGCCUUGCCCUCAGCCCUGCGUGUAGCUGCCUGUGUUAUGGGAAGACUCUGGGAAUUUGAAGAUGACAGCCAAACACUGCUCUAAAUGGGUUCAUGUAUUUUUCAGAAACAUAUCAAUCAGGUGUUAUGUUGGUUUGAUAUCAACUGUUUUGAUGUAUGUAUUUCCCCACUGAAGGGAAAGUUGAAGUUUGUCUUGAUUUUCAUACAUGUCACAGAGCCCACUUCUUUCUGUCUUAAAUAGUCUUAGCUAAAAUUUGCAACCAAAUCAGACAUAUGACAGUAACAGCAAAAGAAUGCAGCUCGUAAUGUCAGAGGAGCUGGGUUUUAAUUUCAGCUCUGUCACUUACUCGCUGAGUGACUCUAAGCAACCUGCUAAACCUCUCUGAGCCUCCAUGUUUUUUUUUUUUUAAAGUGAGGACAAGAAUAAUCACUUGUGAGGUUUAAAUGAUUUGAGGUACAUAAAGCAAAGUGCCUGGACUGCGGCGAAUCCUCAAUAUGUGUUUAGGGGGUGGUGGUGGGGGAACGAUGAGCUGUUUGCUGUCUUUUAAAGGGCUUACAGGUGGCCUUGAGAAUUGGCAUGGACUGCAGGUCUCUAACCCUUUAGGAGAGACUGACAGUAAUGCUAGCUAUACCGGAAACAGGUGAAGCUCCUCCAGCUGGCUAACGAGCACAAGCAGCUUCAGGAGACUCCAAGUUAAUUGGCUAAUGGAUAUUGUCAUAUAACGCACACCAGUGGUGAUGGUUUUUCUUCUCCCCAAUGAUGGAAACAAAUAGACAAACAAAAAAACAAGCUUAAAAUCCUCCUACCCUCAUUAGUCAUCUGAUCACAUGUUUUCAAGUUCCCUCCCAACCCUGAUCCACAUAAAAACAUUUAUUUUAUACAUUGUAAAACCAGAAUGCAGAAACUUUUAAACACUUUUCUUUUAGAGCUAACUCAUCUGCUGAACUGACUGAUAGCCUAGAGUCUAGGCAGGGCAGGUGCAGAGCGCCCAGGUACUCUGAGGGCUGGGCCCUCUGUGCAAAGCUCAUGGCGCAAGAGCAGAGGCCGCCAAUGUCUCUCUAUAGCUGUGGUUCUCAGCUGGGGCAGUUUUGUCCCCCAGGGAAUGACAUCUAACAACAUCUGGAGACAUUUUUGGUUGUCACAGCUGGUUAAGGGUGGGCUACUGGGAUCUAGUGUGUAGAGUCUAGGGAUGCUGCUAAACCUCCUAGAUGCAAGG